rnacentral:rRNA from 1 species
UACGGGGGGUGCGAGCGUUGUCCGGAAUCACUGGGCGUAAAGGGCGCGUAGGUGGCCUGAUAAGGGUGUGGUGAAAGUCCGGGGCUCAACCCCGGAUCUGCCGUGCCGACUGUUGGGCUGGAGUACUGUAGGGGCAGGCGGAAUUCCGGGUGUAGCGGUGGAAUGCGUAGAUAUCAGGAGGAACACCGGUGGCGAAGGCGGGUCUCUGGGCCGAUAUUGACGCUGAGGAGCGAAAGCGUGGGGAGCGAACAGG